rnacentral:rRNA from 1 species
AGACGUCUACAUUAGACUACCCCCGUAGUCCCAGCCGUAAACUAUGUGCGUUAGGUGUAUCGGUGACCACGAGUUACCGAGGUGCCGAAGGGAACCGUGAAACGUGCCGCCUGGGAAGUACGGUCGCAAGGCUGAAACUUAAAGGAAUUGGCGGGGGAGCACAACAACGGGUGGAGCCUGCGGUUUAAUUGGACUCAACGCCGGACAACUCACCGGGGACGACAGCAAUAUGUAGGCCAGGCUGAAGACCUUGCCUGAAUCGCUG